rnacentral:rRNA from 1 species
CGUCCCAGUUCGGAUUGUAGUCUGCAACCCGACUACAUGAAGCUGGAAUCGCUAGUAAUCGCGGAUCAGAAUGUCGCGGUGAAUACGUUCCCGGGUCUUGUACACACCGCCCGUCACACCAUGGGAGUCGGAAAUGCCCGAAGUCAGUGACCCAACCGUAAGGAGGGAGCUGCCGAAGGUGGAGCCGGUAACUGGGGUGAAGUCGUAACAAGGUACC